rnacentral:rRNA from 1 species
AACGAACGCUGGCGGCAGGCCUAACACAUGCAAGUCGAGCGCGCCCUUCGGGGUGAGCGGCGGACGGGUGAGUAACGCGUGGGAACGUACCCUUUGCUACGGAAUAGCCUCGGGAAACUGAGAGUAAUACCGUAUACGCCCUUUGGGGGAAAGAUUUAUCGGCAAAGGAUCGGCCCGCGUUGGAUUAGGUAGUUGGUGGGGUAAUGGCCCACCAAGCCGACGAUCCAUAGCUGGUUUGAGAGGAUGAUCAGCCACACUGGGACUGAGACACGGCCCAGACUCCGACGGGAGGCAGCAGUGGGGAAUCUUAGACAAUGGGGGCAACCCUGAUCGAGCCAUGCCGCGUGAGUGAUGAAGGCCUUAGGGUUGUAAAGCUCUUUCAGCUGGGAAGAUAAUGACGGUACCAGCAGAAGAAGCCCCGGCUAACUCCGUG